rnacentral:rRNA from 1 species
GCUUGCACCACCUGAUUAGUGGCGAACGGGUGAGUAACACGUGAGUAACCUGCCCCCCACUUCGGGAUAACCUCGGGAAAUCGUGGCUAAUACCGGAUAUGAGCACUCAUCGCAUGGUGGGUGUUGGAAAGAUUUAUCGGUGGGGGAUGGACUCGCGGCCUAUCAGUUUGUUGGUGAGGUGAUGGCUCACCAAGACGAUGACGGGUAGCCGGCCUGAGAGGGCGACCGGCCACACUGGGACUGAGACACGGCCCAGACUCCUACGGGAGGCAGCAGUGGGGAAUAUUGCACAAUGGGCGAAAGCCUGAUGCAGCGACGCCGCGUGGGGGAUGACGGCCUUCGGGUUGUAAACCCCUUUCAGUAGGGAAGAAGCGAGAGUGACGGUACCUGCAGAAGAAGCGCCGGCUAACUACGUGCCAGCAGCCGCGGUAAUACGUAGGGCGCAAGCGUUGUCCGGAAUUAUUGGGCGUAAAGAGCUUGUAGGUGGCUUGUCGCGUCUGCCGUG